rnacentral:rRNA from 1 species
CCCUUAGAUGUUCUGGGCCGCACGCGCGCUACACUGAUGCAUUCAACGAGCCUAUCCUUGACCGACAGAUCCGGGUAAUCUUUGAAUCUGCAUCGUGACGGGGAUAGAUUAUUGCAAUUAUUAAUCUUCAACGAGGAAUGCCUAGUAGGCGCAAGUCAUCAGCUUGCGUCGAUUACGUCCCUGCCCUUUGUACACACCGCCCGUCGCUCCUACCGAUUGGGUGUGCUGGUGAAAUGUUCGGAUCGGCCGUUUGUCGCGGUUUCCGCGGCUCGUGGCUGAGAAGUUCAUUAAACCCUCCCACCUAGAGGAAGGAGAAGUCGUAACA